AUUGAACGCUGGCGGCAGGCCUAACACAUGCAAGUCGAGCGGAGCGGCGGACGGGUGAGUAAUGCCUAGGAAUCUGCCUGGUAGUGGGGGAUAACGUCCGGAAACGGGCGCUAAUACCGCAUACUAUCAGAUGAGCCUAGGUCGGAUUUGCGAGAUGGUGGGGCAAAGGCCUACCAAGGCGCCGAUCCGUAACUGGUCUGAGAGGAUGAUCAGUCACCCUGGAACUGAGACACGGUCCAUACUCCUACGGGAGGCAGAAGUGGGGAAUAUUUGACAAUGGGCGAAAGCUUGAUCCAGCCAUGCAGCUUGUGUGAAGAAGGUCUUCGGAUUGUAAAGCACUUUAAGUUGGGAGGCGUUACCAACAGAAUAAGCACCGGCUAACUUCGUGCCAGCAGCCGCGAUAAUUC
rnacentral:rRNA from 1 species